UUGCGGUUAAAAAGCUCGUAGUUGGAUCUCGGCGAGUAGAGGGCGGUAUGCUUCGUAGCAUUACUGCCCUAUUACUUGUAGUUUUGCCAGAGGUUCCUGGGUGCUCUUAAUCGAGUGUCUAGGGAUGCUGGCAGGUUUACUUUGAAAAAAUUAGAGUGCUCAAAGCAGGCUAUUACGCUUGAAUAUUCGUGCAUGGAAUAAUAGAAUAGGAAGUUGUUUCUAUUUUGUUGGUUUUCGGAAAUCGACUUAAUGAUUAAUAGGGACAGUCGGGGGCAUUUGUAUUCAAACGACAGAGGUGAAAUUCUUGGACCGUUUGAAGACAAACUACUGCGAAAGCAUUUGCCAAGAAUGUUUUCAUUAAUCAAGAACGAAAGUUAGAGGUUCGAAGGCGAUUAGAUACCGCCCUAGUUCUAACCAUAAACGAUGCCAGCUAGCGAUCUGAGGACGUUUUUUUUGUAGACUCCUCAGGAAGCUUCCGGGAAACCAAAGCGUGUGGGUUCCGGGGGAAGUAUGGUUGCAAAGCUGAAACUUAAAGGAAUUGACGGAAGGGCACCACCAGGAGUGGAGCCUGCGGCUUAAUUUGACUCAACACGGGAAAUCUCACCAGGCCCGGACACUGGAAGGAUUGACAGAUUGAGAGCUCUUUCUCGAUUCGGUGGGUGGUGGUGCAUG
rnacentral:rRNA from 1 species